rnacentral:misc_RNA from 1 species
UCCCCGUUACCGGGGCAGUCUGAAUAGAAAAAUCCAACUAUUCAUAAGGGUUGCGCUCGUUGAUGGACUUAACCAAACAUCUCACGACACGAGCUGACGACGGCCAUGCAACAGCUGUCACCAAGUUCAAUAAAGCACUCUCGUCUUUCGACAAAAUUCUUGGGAUGUCAAACCCUGGUAAGGUUUAUCGUUUAUCAUCGAAUUAAAGAACACGCUCCACCGCUUGUGCGGGUCCCCGUCAAUUCCUUUAUGUUUUAGCCUUGCGGCCGUACUCCACAGGCGGGAUGCUUAACGCGUUAGCUUCGCUACGGAAGGGGUCGAUACCCCCCACAGCUAGCAUCCAUCGUUUACGGCGUGGACUAC